UGGGGAAUAUUGGACAAUGGGCGAAAGCCUGAUCCAGCCAUGCCGCGUGUGUGAAGAAGGUCUUCGGAUUGUAAAGCACUUUAAGUUGGGCGGAAGGGCAGUAAGCGAAUACCUUGCUGUUUUGACGUUACCGACAGAAUAAGCACCGGCUAACUCUGUGCCAGCAGCCGCGGUAAUACAGAGGGUGCAAGCGUUAAUCGGAAUUACUGGGCGUAAAGCGCGCGUAGGUGGUUCGUUAAGUUGAAUGUGAAAGCCCCGGGCUCAACCUGGGAACUGCAUCCAAAACUGGCGAGCUAGAAUAGGGCAGAGGGUGGUGGAAUUUCCUGUGUAGCGGUGAAAUGCGUAGAUAUAGGAAGGAACACCAGUGGCGAAGGCGACCACCUGGGCUCAUACUGACACUGAGGUGCGAAAGCGUGGGGAGCAAACAGG
rnacentral:rRNA from 1 species